CAGAUUUCUGGUCCAGGUAAACUUACAUACGAUGGUUAUACCACAUUCAUGACUGUAUAAAGGCCAACAGUUAUUUGCAAUAUCAAAAUAAAAUGGGGAAUUUGGGUGAAUGCCCCUAUCGGAAGGCCAUUGAGGAUAUAUAACCACCCAUUUCUGAAACUUUCUAUUUCACCCUCUCAUUUUUUAAUAAUCCUAAAAUACCCUUAGAAAUAUCAAAAACAAUUUUUUUUUUUUUUGUUUCUUUCACUUCUCACCAGCUCAUCUCUUCUUCUUCCUCACCCUUUCCCCUAAAAACCCCAGAUUUGAGUUUUCGAGUUUCCCUCUCAUCGGAGCAGAAGCUUUGCUUUAUGCUUGUAGUUUCAAAUUUCGCAGAUAGACAGAACAAAAAAAAAUGGCCAAGUGGUGGUGCUCCGGUGCCAACCGAAUAUAUCUGGAAAGCCCUGGUUUACAGUCAUGGGUUUGGCCACCACGGCUAUUGUCCCCGAGCCGCUUUGUAGCGCAAGAUCCAAGCCAUCCCGAAGCAGAGUAUCGGUAAAAGAUAGAGCCCAGGGGAGAAUCCCUGCCAUAGUGUUCAGCCAAAGCCUCUUGGACAAAAAACCUAGCAACCGAUCAAGGGGUGUGGAAGUGGUGAUAAUGGGAAAAACUCGUCCAGCUGUUUUAAGUGCUUUCAAAAUGGUAGAUUUAAUUGGAAAUGGUGGCAUUGUUUUUGAAGUUUCUCCUGGGGUUUUCCUACAGGUCUUUUAUCUUUUUUAUUUUUAUUUUUUAAAAUCGGGAUUACAAUAAGUUCUACUUUAAAGGGGAGGAGGAGGUGACUCAAAUCCACGACAUUAAAGGUGUGGGUGUGAGGCAUACUAUGUGGCCAACCUCACUUGUCAGACCUUUUAUCUUUCUAAAAUGGCAUAUUUGUAAGAUGUAGAUAACUUCCUCACCUUGUCUUUACUUGAAAAUAUUUUCUACCAAAUUUUAUAUGUAACAUUUGUCCCUUGGAAGAUGUGUUAGGCAGAUAGAAGAGGACUAUGAAAUCCACUUUCAUCCCAUAUAUUCUUUUAUACUAUGCAUAGUGAAAUACGAUAGUUUCUAUAGAGUGAAUUAUAGACUGUGUUCUUAAAUUGAAGUAUGUCAAUCCUAGUUUUAAAAGAAAUUUUCACUACUUAUUAUCUGUUCUCUAGUAAAUUCCAAGGGUUGCUUGUUAAUGGUAGACAAGGUCAGGAAAUUAACAGAACGAAUUUGGAUUUGAAUAUCUGCAGAGAGGUAACACUCAUCAUAUUUUAUUAUUCACCUGUUCUCAUUGAUUCAUUUAACGACAUGAGAUUCUUGUGACUAAAGUAUAGGCAAUGACCUGAAUUUGUUGGAGUCUAUAUGUAAGCAACUUCCUUGUAAUAGGAGCAUUCACCCAAAUUCCCCUUUUGUUAAGUUUCUAUAGCUUUAUUAUGAGACCAUACUACUAUAAAUCUAGAUUGGCAUAAUGAUUUAUAGGUUAGAGAGAGAGAGAGCUUAAUGAUAUUUGCCCCUUCAUUUGCUAUCAUUUUUUUUUCUACCCUUCCAAUUUUUGUUAAUCCCAAAAUACCUUUAAAUUCAAAUUAAAUAUUUUUAUCUUUUUUAUUUUUUUUAUUUUUUUAUUUUUUUCUGUUAUUUCUUUCUUUUCUUCACCCAUUCUCUCCUCCUUCAUCAUCUUUGUUCAAGAAGACCCCAUUGUUGAUAAGCUUAGAACCCAUCUCCUCCAUUGAAUAAAAACAUUGUCGGACUGUUUGUCUUCUUCUUCUUUAUCGGGGUUGCAUUUGAUAAGCUUUGGACUUCCAGAAAGAAGAAGAACAAAUCAAGGGUUGAUGAAAACCGUUGUGAAGCUUGGCCACAAGUGUCCACGAGCUUUUCAUUGUUUUUGGAGAAGGAUUUGCAGAGGAAAGAGUCGGUGGAAUGGGUGAAUAUGGUGUUGGGGAGGUUAUGGAAAGUGUAUAGAGGUGGGAUUGCGAAUUGGAUAAUUGGGUUGCUUCAGUCCAUCAUUGAAAAUUUGAAGAAGCCUGAUUAUGUUGAGAGGGUCGAAAUUAAGCAAUUCUCUUUGGGGAUGAGUCGUUGUCUGUUAGAAAUAUUGAGAGAUGAACUUCUCGUCGUGCAAAUGACCUGCAAUGUCAAAUCGAUCUCCGUUAUAGUGGAGCUGCCCCGUAUGCUUUUAAUGUUAUUACUAAAAUUUGGCACUAUACCAAUUGUGGUGCCAGUUGGUGUUCGAGAUUUUGACAUUGAUGAGAAAGUUUGGGUCAAAUUGGGAUUGAUACCAACAGAGCCUUUUGUAGGAGCUGUAAUAUUAUCUAGUUUUUAUUCAUAAAACACUUGUACAUUUUUCUCUUGCUAAUUCAGAAUUAGUUUUUAGUUUUUCUACAUGAUUCUCAUGUAAAAAUGAAGUGUAAGGAUCCAAUUUCAUUAUGAAACUCUCCAUAUUGUUUGAGAUGUGGAAAACCAAGAAAUAAGAAGGAUGAGAAUUUAAAUGGAUGGUAA